rnacentral:rRNA from 1 species
UACAGAGGUCCCAAGCGUUGUUCGGGUUCACUGGGCGUAAAGGGUGCGUAGGCGGUCGGGUAAGUCUGAUGUGAAAUCUCACAGCUUAACUGUGAAACUGCAUUGGAUACUAUCCGGCUCGAGGAAUGGAGGGGAGACUGGAAUACUUGGUGUAGCAGUGAAAUGCGUAGAUAUCAAGUGGAACACCAGUGGCGAAGGCGAGUCUCUGGACAUUUCCUGACGCUGAGGCACGAAAGCCAGGGGAGCAAACGGG